CUGACAAGUGUGUUUGCUUUGUACCUUGGCUUGCAGGCUCCAGGGAUGGUCGGUGGCUCAAUUUAACUAGUUUCCUUUCCUGAUGGGGACAGAAACCUGCCCAGCACUGUUUCUGACCAGGCUGCCAGAAGCAUGGAGUCUGUCUUGGGAUUCAUUGACACAAGAGAGAAAUGGUCGGAUGGAGAGACUAGGAGAAAGCAAUCCGGAUACAGAACAGGAUCUCGAGCCCUCAGGUGAAGAGCUGGGGAGACCCAGCCAGGAGGAGAAGAAGCCCAAAGGAGUCUGCUCUGAGAUGGGCAGAACGGGAUGUUUGUGGUGCCUAUGUGUGCCUGCUUGUCUGAAUGGAAACCGUAUACAUGCAGUGCCUACAGAAGGCAGAAGGGGGCAUCAGGUCCCUGGGGCUGGAAUUCACAGUUGUGAACUGAUGCGGGUGCUGAGACUUCUGCCCAGGUCGGCUCUAACUAUAACGGUGGCAAAUGUUGUCCACCACUAGACCAUCGUUCCAGCCCCAAGAUGUGUCUGCGUUUAACAAAGAAGCCUUGAGAACUGAGCUGUCUUCAGCCUGAGAGGAGCAGCAGAUGUAGCUGUAGAAGAAGAUUUUGUAAAUCCAUCCACAUACCGAAAUUAUAAAACAUUUCUACUGAAUCA
rnacentral:sRNA from 1 species